rnacentral:rRNA from 1 species
UACGUAGGGUGCGAGCGUUAAUCGGAAUUACUGGGCGUAAAGCGUGCGCAGGCGGUUUUUGUAAGUCAGAUGUGAAAAUCCCCGGGCGUCAACCUGGGAACGUGCGUUUGUAAACUACAAGGCUAGAGUGUAGAAGAGGGGGGUAGGAAUUCCACGUGUAGCAGUGAAAUAGCGUAGAGAUGUGGAGGAAUACCGAUGGCGAAGGCAGCCCC